UUAUAUAGGUGGGUCAUGAGCAAGUGUAGUCAAUAAUAAGCUACUUCACUUAGUCAAAAAAAAAAAAAAAACUGUGGAAAUAAGAGUGAAAGUACUGUUGCCUUUGUACUAAAAUGCUUGGCUCUUGACAUGUGUUUUUCUUCUUUUUUUUUUUUGCACACUCUCCAACACGUCAACCAUCUCAUGCAAACUUAUUCUGAUUUCAAUAAAAGCAUUAAAGAACAUGCUGUCAUCCAUUCAACAGCCAUGGAGAUUAAUAUUCAAAAGGAGAGAGAAUCUUACUGUAACUAAAAGCAAAAGUUGCUCUGGUAGAGCGGAAAGGUAAUGACAGAAGAAUUGUUGUGAUCACGUAAAAUAAAAUAGUAAAAAAAAAGUUAUUUCACUGCUUUAAAGGAAUCUUUUUCCUCUAAAAAUGAAGGUUUCGUUUAAGGUGAGGAAAGCUGUGUGGCUUCUUCGAACAGACCUGCACCUGAAAAGCAGAGGUGAGAGAUCACGAGAGUUAGUCCGGCUGAGUAGAGGGUCGAACCGUGUAGAUCAGUUGUCGAAGUGAGGUCGGCGUGUGAAGAAGAGGGGAAGUGGGAGUGAGGUUGACGGGUAGAGUAGGUUCAGGCUGUGAGAGGCUGCUGUUAUUAUUUGCUUGGCAACGCUCAAGCUGCUUUGGAAAGGAGGGGCUGUGGGCUGCAGGGAAGCUUGCGAAAAGUGGAGUUCGGACGGAGUAGGUGGGGUGUGAAGGAUUGAAAAACAGCAUAUGAUCCAGCUUCAUCUCUUUUUAAAAAACGAAAUAUCAUCUUUCGAGACUAAGGCGACGUCUGAGGCGAGAGAUUGAGAAGACCAUUUGCAGCGGGAUUUGAGGGAUUUAGACGCGAAUUAACCAGCGCGAAUUCAGGAGAUACGAGCUGGCAUUGCUUGCUGCAGACAACACUUGCCCACCUUCACUGAUAAGCCAUUUCCCUCACACUUCGUUUCUUAUCUAAAUUGAAGCCAUCUCACCGUGACAUCAGUUUUGUUCUUCUUUUAUGUUUUUGCAGGAGAAAAAUGGGUUUCCUCUCUCCAUGAAACAUUCAAGGAAGUAUUGCUUGUAUAGAGAAGAGUACGCAAUAUAUGAAGACUCAACUGAUAUUCAACUGAAGAAUUAAGAGAGCUGUAAUGUUAAAUUAGCUUUGUGAAUGCGUUGUGAGCAAAUUCAGCAUAAAGGAACAUAUUACAAGUAUUAGAAUGAUUCAUUGUCAUUAAAGAUAGCAAAAUUAUUAGUGAAUGCAUUGUGUUCUCUGGUGCCCCAGUGCUGCAAUAUUUUUUGGGAUCAGAAAUGACAUAGAACAGUGCGCUGUAGCAUUGUGUUGUACUGCAGCAUAGUUAGACAGAUCGAGAUCAAAGGGUUGUUCGCCACAGCGCUCCAAACUGAUGCCAAAGCGCUCCGAGGUGGACUGAACAAUUUUCUUUCUCGUUUUUCUCCAGGGUGACAUCCCUUGGUGUUAUUAAAUUAAAUUUCUCUUAUGUUUUGAGUGUGAAAAUAGUGUAAAAGAGAAACAUAUGCCUUUGCAUUGCCCAUGUUAAAUACUAGAGCCCUUUUGCUUUC